AGAUCAAGGACAACACAGAAGCCUUGGGAGAAUUGGAGACUUGUUCCAGGAGAAAGAAUCUGAACUCUUAAAAUCCUUAAAGCCUUUGAGAUUUGCCACAGACCUUAGGACAAUUGGCUCCUCAAACCAGGACAAUGGGAAGGAAAUGAAGGGAGCCCAUGUGGUGAGAGCUCCUUCCAUAUGCUGAAGAGAUGCCAACUCCUCAGAAAAUAACAAGAAGCAGACAGCAAAGAUUCUUGAUCCUAUAAACACUGAGGUCCACGUAAAAGGAAUGCGGGGCGGCAGGAGCCAAGCUGAUGCUGAUGCUGAUCUAU